UUCUCCUGUGAUACAAAAGUAUCUGGAGCGGGAUGGGCUACUAUUUGGGGUCCUUCCUGGGUCCUUAAUUUCCAUGGUAACAUUGUUGUUAACGUAACAAUGCAUUCGGGUCCCUGAAGCUACUAGCUAGCCGAAUGGAAGAGGGACGACGUGUUAUUACAACUAUCAACAACAUGACGCCGAAAAAAGAAAUGGGCGGCAAGUGGCAAUUUGAGGUCCUGGCUCAUCAGUAGAGUCUAGCAUCAAACAGAGUUGGCUCAACCUGGCUUGUCCAUGUCUCCACUCAAGUUGUUCAGCAGGCGAGGAGACAGUACUUCAGGUGGAGAGAUCAGGAACCAUGGAUGCUACAGUUUUGUGGCCCUGUGGUGAAGCGACGAUUCUGGAGCAGCUUGAAAGCUACCUGUAGAGGGAGCUGCAGGCUCUUGACCCACUUCUGCCAAAAGUCAAACUUCACGUCCCAUCCAUCUGCCCUUUAAUUUAUACAUGUUAUCCAUACAUCUUCAUGGGUUUGGUACAUGGUAUUUACAUGGUAUUUACCUAACUACAAUAAGGAGUACAGCCUAUAACUUGGUUGUCAAGUCACAAAAUCUGCCCUCUGUCAUAUAUACUGUACAAGCCGCUAUAGUCUUACAUACUUUUUUUUAAUGAAAUCACAUUUGGUGUGUAGCAUUGCAGCAUGGAGUGUUUGUGAUUGUGGCAUAUAGGCCUAUUGUGUUAUGGUAAAUGUGAGCCUGGACAGCACAACAAGGAUGAGUGCAAGUAUGAGAGGGCCUUACAUAUUUCAUGCUUAUAGGAUGUUGGAUUUGAUUUGACUGUAAUGUCUAUUUCUGCAGCAUACCUAUGGGACUAGAUCCGUGAGCUAGUGCCCCUCCGUGCUCAUCUGGUUCUGGUCUCAGAGCAAUGUGAGAAGGGGACCAAAUCACAUUUUAUUGGUUGCGUACACAUUUUUUUUUAUGUUAUUAUGGGUGUAGCAAAAUGCUUAUGUUUUUAGCUCCAACAGUGCAGUAAUACCUAACAAUGCAAAACAAUACACACAAAUCCCAAAAAUAAAAAGGGAAACAUUUGAAUAUUACAACGAGCAAUGUCAGAGUCCGGAAUAUAACUAUAUAUGUAUAUAUGAUGGUGUGUAUAGACAUUAUGGACAGUAUAUGAAUAGAAAAGGUGUGUACAUUAGUAGUUAUAUAGGAUGAGCUUUGAAUAGAACACAGUAUAUAGAGAGCAUUUUUCCCACAUUUUGUUAUGUUACAGCCUUAUUCUAAAAUUGAUUAAAUACAUUUGUUUCCUCAUCAAUCUACACACAAUACCCCAUAAUGACAAAGCAAAAACAGAUUUUUUGGUCAAAUAAAAAACAGAACAACCUUAUUUACAUAA